GCCUGGUGCUUUCAACUCCCUCCGUAAAAAAAAAUGUUUAACUGUCCAUCUUAUAUAAAAUUUUUUAAUAAUUAGUAUUUUUAUUGUUGUUAGAUGAUAAAAAUAUGAUUAAUACUUUAUGCGUAACUUAUCUUUUUAAUUUUUUUUAUAAUUUUUUUAAAUAAGAUGGACGGUCAAACGUUGGACACGGAAACCAGGGUUUGUCUUUUU
rnacentral:pre_miRNA from 1 species